AAAAAAAGCAGGCCCACUAGGUGUUCGAGAAAAGUCCUAAUUGAAAAAUUGAACAAAAAACAAACAAAGAGAAUAGCACUGCGUCGUGGCGAAACCACUGCCUUGAAAAUUAAAUUCGGGCGACAACAAGGUGCACGCCCUUCAUGCUGAUUCAUCUCCCAUGGUUUGCGCUAGGGGAAAGCACAGAACAAAGAACUAGGAGGUAAAGCUGGGGAUCGGUGAAAAGGAAUGAUUGAUUAUGAAGAAACUGAAAGCGAAAAAAAUGAAAGGCAAGAAAAAGAAACAAGGAAACUGUUGUGUUUGAGGUGCCUCUAAAGAAUUAAGAGGUGAAGCAAUGGAUCAAUGAAGAAGGAAUGAGUGAGUGUCCAUUAAUUUCUCCAAGAUGACUUGCUCAACAUCUUUUUUUUUUCUUUUUUUUUUUGCUAAGUAUGAUCAUAUUAAAACUCCCUAUAUAUCUUUGUUUGAAAUUUUAUUGAUAGGAUUAUUACAUCGACGGUUAAAGAGGAUCCAU